rnacentral:rRNA from 1 species
GAGACAGCAGUCGCCACGGUAAUACGUAGGUGGCAAGCGUUGUCCGGAAUUAUUGGGCGUAAAGGGCUCGCAGGCGGUUUCUUAAGUCUGAUGUGAAAGCCCCCGGCUCAACCGGGGAGGGUCAUUGGAAACUGGGAAACUUGAGUGCAGAAGAGGAGAGUGGAAAUCCACGUGUAGCGGUGAAAUGCGUAGAGAUGUGGAGGAACACCAGUGGCGAAGGCGACUCUCUGGUCUGUAACUGACGCUGAGGAGCGAAAGCGUGGGGAGCGAACAGGAUUAGAUACCCCUGUAGUCCCUGUCUCUUAUAC